UACGUAGGGGGCAAGCGUUGUCCGGAAUCAUUGGGCGUAAAGCGCGUGUAGGCGGUCCGGUAAGUCGGCUGUGAAAGUCCAGGGCUCAACCCUGGGAUGCCGGUCGAUACUGCCGGGCUAGAGUUCGGAAGAGGCGAGUGGAAUUCCCGGUGUAGCGGUGAAAUGCGCAGAUAUCGGGAGGAACACCAAUGGCGAAGGCAGCUCGCUGGGACGUUACUGACGCUGAGACGCGAAAGCGUGGGGAGCAAACAGG
rnacentral:rRNA from 1 species